rnacentral:rRNA from 1 species
AGUGAACGCUGGCGGUAGGCCUAACACAUGCAAGUCGAACGGCAGCACAGUAAGAGCUUGCUCUUACGGGUGGCGAGUGGCGGACGGGUGAGGAAUACAUCGGAAUCUACUUUUUCGUGGGGGAUAACGUAGGGAAACUUACGCUAAUACCGCAUACCACCUACGGGUGAAAGCAGGGGAUCUUCGUACCUUGCGCGAUUGAAUGAGCCCAGGUCGGAUUAGCUAGUUGGCGGGGUAAAGGCCCACCAAGGCGACGAUCCGUAGCUGGUGUGAGAGGAUGAUCGGCCACAGUGGGAGGAAGACAAGAUCCAGACUCAGAAGAGAGGCAGAAGUGGGGAAUAUGGAGCAAUGGGGGAAAGCCUGAACCAGCCGUAACGCGUAGGUAAAGAAGGCCUUCGGGUGGUAAAGCCCUUUUGUUGGGAAAGAAAAGCAGCAGGUUAAUACCCCGCUGUGGUGACGGUACCGAAAGAAUAAGCACCGGCUAACUUCGUG